GACGAACGCUGGCGGCGUGCUUAACACAUGCAAGUCGAACGGAAAGGCCCUGCUUUUGUGGGGUGCUCGAGUGGCGAACGGGUGAGUAACACGUGAGUAACCUGCCCUUGACUUUGGGAUAACUUCAGGAAACUGUGGCUAAUACCGGAUAGGAGCUCCUGCUGCAUGGUGGGGGUUGGAAAGUUUCGGCGGUUGGGGAUGGACUCGCGGCUUAUCAGCUUGUUGGUGGGGUAGUGGCUUACCCAGGCUUUGACGGGUAGCCGGCCUGAGAGGGUGACCGGCCACAUUGGGACUGAGAUACGGCCCAGACUCCUACGGGAGGCAGCAGUGGGGAAUAGUGCACAAUGGGCGGAAGCCUGAUGCAGCAACGCCGCGUGCGGGAUGACGGCCUUCGGGUUGUAAACCGCUUUCGCCUGUGACGAAGCGUGAGUGACGGUAAUGGGUAAAGAAGCACCGGCUAACUACGUG
rnacentral:rRNA from 1 species